UACGUAGGGUGCAAGCGUUAAUCGGAAUUACUGGGCGUAAAGCGUGCGCAGGCGGUUUUGUAAGUUUGUCGUGAAAGCCCCGGGCUCAACCUGGGAAUGGCGAUGAAGACUGCAAGGCUUGAAUCUGGCAGAGGGGGGUAGAAUUCCACGGUGUAGCAGUGAAAUGCGUAGAGUAUGAUGGAGGAACACCGAUGGCGAAGGCAGCCCCCUGGGUCAAGAUUGACGCUCGAUGCACGAAAGCGUGGGGAGCAAACAGG
rnacentral:rRNA from 1 species